rnacentral:rRNA from 1 species
CGGGUGCUUGCACCUGGUGGCGAGUGGCGAACGGGUGAGUAAUACAUCGGAACAUGUCCUGUAGUGGGGGAUAGCCCGGCGAAAGCCGGAUUAAUACCGCAUACGAUCUACGGAUGAAAGCGGGGGACCUUCGGGCCUCGCGCUAUAGGGUUGGCCGAUGGCUGAUUAGCUAGUUGGUGGGGUAAAGGCCUACCAAGGCGACGAUCAGUAGCUGGUCUGAGAGGACGACCAGCCACACUGGGACUGAGACACGGCCCAGACUCCUACGGGAGGCAGCAGUGGGGAAUUUUGGACAAUGGGCGAAAGCCUGAUCCAGCAAUGCCGCGUGUGUGAAGAAGGCCUUCGGGUUGUAAAGCACUUUUGUCCGGAAAGAAAUCCUUGGCUCUAAUACAGUCGGGGGAUGACGGUACCGGAAGAAUAAGCACCGGCUAACUACGUGCCAGCAGCCGCGGUAAUACGUAGGGUGCGAGCGUUAAUCGGAAUUACUGGGCGUAAAGCGUGCGCAGGCGGUUUGCUAAGACCGAUGUGAAAUCCCCGGGCUCAACCUGGGAACUGCAUUGGUGACUGGCAGGCUAGAGUAUGGCAGAGGGGGGUAGAAUUCCACGUGUAGCAGUGAAAUGCGUAGAGAUGUGGAGGAAUACCGAUGGCGAAGGCAGCCCCCUGGGCCAAUACUGACGCUCAUGCACGAAAGCGUGGGGAGCAAACAGGAUUAGAUACCCUGGUAGUCCACGCCCUAAACGAUGUCAACUAGUUGUUGGGGAUUCAUUUCCUUAGUAACGUAGCUUACGCCGUGAAGUUGACCGCCUGAGUGGGAGUACAGGUCGCCAAGAUUAAAAACUCCAAAGGAUUAUUGAUCGGAGGACCAGCACAAGCCGGUGGGAUGAUGGUGAGAUAAAUGCAGAUGCAGACCCCGAAAAAACCUAUACCUUACCCAAUGGACAUGGGUCGGGAAUCACCGCUUGAAAGAGGGUGGUGAAGUGGCUUAAAAGAGAACUGUCGCACAAUGUGGGCAUGGCUGUAGUCAGUUCGUGUCGUGAGAUAGUAGGUUUAAUCCCGCGGGGAAAGUCCCCUUGUCGCUAGGUGUAUGCGAGAGCAGUCUAAAGAGACUUCCCCAACAAGCCGGAGAAAGGUGGAGUCUGGAUCAAGUCCUCAUGGACCUUAGGGGGAGGGCUUCACAGAUCAGUAGGGAUCGUAACAGAGGGUUGCCAUCCCGGGAGGGAGAUUUAAUACAAGAAUAGGGAUCUAAUAGGGAUAGGCUGUGCGGUUCGAGGCUGAAUGUAGCUGGAAUCGCUAGUAAUAUUCUUAUAGAAUGCCGCGGUCAAUACCUCCACAUGACUUACACACUUAUCCCAUCUCACCAUUGGAGUGGGUUUCCCAAGAAGUAAG